CACAAAACCGACCAGGGAGUUCUAAUUUGACUGCAGGCAUUCUAAAAAUACCUUACUGUUCCGUCGCAGGCUUAAGCGGCGUUUUUACAAUAUAUUUAACUCGUUAUACGUUUGUUUGCACGCCGUUAAGAAGUUCAACAAUGCCCGCCAAAAGUUCACGUUACGCCCCUAGCAACGGCGUGUUUCCAAGGAAUGAACGCAUACUUUUCAACGAUGCAACAACGCGUUUAAAAUGCAAGCUGCAAGCUCAACUGCAAUUGGCUGUAUUACCUCUCGCUCAGUCAAGUGAGUCAACAACAUUUACUUCGUGUCAAACUAUAGGGAUUUUCCAAUCGUUUUGUUAUAAAUUCCG